rnacentral:rRNA from 1 species
UAUGGUCAAGCGAUGAAGCGCAUACGGUGGAUGCCUAGGCAGUCAGAGGCGAUGAAAGACGUGGAAGCCUGCGAUAAGGUUCGGCGAGGUGGCAAACAACCUGUGACCCGGACAUUUCUGAAUGGGGAAACCCACCCAGGGUAACCUGGGUAUCCCACACUGAAUACAUAGGUGUUGGGAGGCGAACCGGGGGAACUGAAACAUCUAAGUACCCCGAGGAAAAGAAAUCAACCGAGAUUCCCCCAGUAGCGGCGAGCGAACGGGGACCAGCCCUUAAGCAAUACGACCGGUAGGUGAACAGACUGGGAAGUCUGGCCAUAGUGGGUGAUAGCCCCGUAACCGAAACCCGAGUGUUGUGAAAACGAGUAGGUCGGGGCACGUGAAACCUUGACUGAACAUGGGGGGACCAUCCUCCAAGGCUAAAUACUCCUGACUGACCGAUAGUGAACCAGUACCGUGAGGGAAAGGCGAAAAGAACCCCGGAGAGGGGAGUGAAAUAGAUCCUGAAACCGUAUGCGUACAAGCAGUGGGAGCAGACUUGUUCUGUGACCGCGUACCUUUUGUAUAAUGGGUCAGCGACUUAUUUUCAGUGGCGAGCUUAACCGUAUAGGGGAGGCGUAGGGAAACCGAGUCUUAACUGGGCGACCAGUCGCUGGAAAUAGACCCGAAACCGGGCGAUCUAUCCAUGAGCAGGUUGAAGGUUGAGUAACAUCAACUGGAGGACCGAACCAGGAUCUGUUGAAAAAGAUUUGGAUGACUUGUGGAUCGGAGUGAAAGGCUAAUCAAGCCCGGAGAUAGCUGGUUCUCCUCGAAAGCUAUUUAGGUAGCGCCUCACGUAUCACCGCCGGGGGUAGAGCACUGUUUCGGCUAGGGGGUCAUCCCGACUUACCAACCCGAGGCAAACUCCGAAUACCGGUGAGUGCAAGCGUGGGAGACACACAGCGGGUGCUAACGUCCGUUGUGAAAAGGGAAACAACCCAGACCGUCAGCUAAGGCCCCGAAAUCCUGGUUAAGUGGGAAACGAUGUGGGAAGGCUUAGACAGCUAGGAGGUUGGCUUAGAAGCAGCCAUCCUUUAAAGAAAGCGUAAUAGCUCACUAGUCGAGUCGGCCUGCGCGGAAGAUGUAACGGGGCUCAAACCAGGUGCCGAAGCUACGGGUUCGCCGAAUGGCGAGCGGUAGAGGAGCGUCGUGUAAGCCGAUGAAGGUGGAUUGAGAAGUCUGCUGGAGGUAUCACGAGUGCGAAUGCUGACAUGAGUAACGACAAGGGGAGUGAAAAACUCCCCCGCCGGAAGACCAAGGGUUUCUGUUCGACGCUAAUCGGAGCAGAGUGAGUCGGCCCCUAAGGCGAGGCCGAAAGGCGUAGUCGAUGGGAAACGGGUCAAUAUUCCCGUACCUCACAGUAUUGCGAUGGGGGGACGAAGAAGGCUAGGUG